rnacentral:rRNA from 1 species
GUCCCAGCCCUAAACGAUGGAUACUAGGUGUCUGUGGUAUCGACCCCGCAGGUGCCGUAGCUAACGCGUUAAGUAUCCCGCCUGGGGAGUACGGCCGCAAGGCUAAAACUCAAAAGAAUUGACGGGGGCCCGGCACAAGCGGUGGAGCAUGUGGUUCAAUUCGAUGCUACGCGAGGAACCUUACCCGGGCUUGACAUGCUGGUAGUAGAACCCUGAAAAGGGAACGAGUCCCGCAAGGGAAAGCCAGCACAGGUGCUGCAUGGCUGUCGU